AAAUAUCAGGCAUACCAAGUUAAACCAUGAUAUCACAUAUUCAUCCAAAUGAUGAUCAAGGCAGCAAGUCCCCCUAGGGAUCACAGCGCAAUCUCUAUUUAAGAGUCCACAUGGGCAAUAGGGCUUACGACCUGGCUGUGGAUCGGGACAUCGUACUGGUGCAGCAGCUCUAGACGGUGCGUCGUCAUACAUAAAGUCCGGG
rnacentral:rRNA from 1 species